GAGAGAGAGACAUGCGCGCAUAUCAAUAAGCGGAGGAAAAGAAACUAACAAGGAUUCCCUUAGUAACGGCGAGUGAAGCGGGAAGAGCUCAAAUUUGAAGUCUUCAAGGGUUUACCUUUACGAAUUGUAGUUUAAAGAAGUGUUUUCUGUUGAGGUUUCGGUAAAAGUUCUUUGGAAUAGGACAUCAUAGAGGGUGAGAAUCCCGUAUUUGACCUUUACUUUCAACUUUGUGAUACACUUUCAAAGAGUCGGAUUGUUUGGGAAUGCAGUCCAAAAUGGGUGGUAAAUUUCAUCUAAAGCUAAAUAUUGGCGAGAGGACCGAUAGCGAACAAGUACCGUGAGGGAAAGAUGAAAAGAACUUUGAAAAGAGAGUUAAACAGUACGUGAAAUUGUCAAAAGGGAAGCGUUUGACACCAGUGUUGUUUUUCUGAAAAUCAAUUAAAGAACUGUUUAUGCUAAGCUGUUUAGACUUUAUCAGCUAACUGUUUAGUUUUGAGCUUUUCUUUAAUGCACUUUUCAGUUAACAAGUCAACAUCCAAUUUCUUUUGCUGUAAAAAAGCUUGAGGAAGGUGGCUUGAGAUUCGUCUUAAGUGUUUAUAGCCUCUUGCCUAUGCAGUCGGAGAGAUUGAGGUCUGCAGCGUAGAUCCUUCGGGGCUAAAUGCAUUUGUGCUAAGUUAUAGCAUUUUAUAGACAACUUGUUGACUAUGAUUUGUCUUGUAGCUUACUCGCUUAUGUUAUUUUACCUACGCUUAGGAUGUUGAGCGCAUGUCUCUCUCU
rnacentral:rRNA from 1 species